rnacentral:lncRNA from 1 species
GACCCAAUGAGAGUAGGACUCUUUAUUCAAAUCUGAUUUGAAUUGAUCCAAUACUAAUGAAAGAAGGACUCCUACAUGAGAUAUAAUUGCCAUCACUUAUGACAUCCACUUUGCACCCACUCCCACACCCACUUGGGAUACCCCAAAUAAGCACCAAACUAAUUUUUGGUCAUGCUUCAUGAGUGGGUAUUUCUAGUGCAAGUAGGAAUACUCAUAUCUCAUCCAA